CGUGGCCCUCAGUGUUCACCAGAGUCACUGGAGUGAGGCAGCAUGGAUGACAUGGAGACCUGGCCAGAGAUACAGAAAGCUGCGACAGAGAAGAGGCGUGAGCUGGUUUUACAGGGUCCUGGUGUGGACACGAGGAUUUCCUCUCAUGGCGGACUCACCUCGUCCAUCUACUCCCUCACCCUGCUCAACUACCUGGAGGUGAGCCAGUGUCCGAGUCUGACAGAGAUCCACGAGGAGAUCCGGAGGCUGACCCACCUACAGAGCCUCAUCCUGUGCAGGAACAAACUCGCCGCCUGCCCGGAUGCCAUCGGCCUCCUCGGGUCCCUGAAGGUCCUGGACCUGUCGGUCAACAACCUGCAGGUUCUACCGGAGGGCAUCACCCAGCUGAGCGAGCUGAACACCCUCAACGUGAGCUGCAACAGCCUGGAGGUCCUGCCCGCCGGCCUGAGCCGCUGCACCAAGCUCUCCACCAUCAACGUCUCCAAGAACCGCAUCACCCGCUUCCCCGCGGACCUCUACUCGGAGCGGCUGGACCUCCUCAGCUCCCUGGUGGCCUCCGACAACUCCAUCGAGGAGCUGAGCGGAGAUGUCCACAAGCUGUCCGCUCUGAAGGUUCUGGAUCUCUCUGGAAACAAGCUGAAGGAAAUCCCGUUUGAUCUGAGCGACUGCCCCAAGCUGAAGGAGAUCAACUUCAAAGGCAACAAGCUGAACGACAAACGCCUUGAAAAGAUGGUCAAUGGUUGCCAGACCAAGUCGAUCCUCGACUACCUCAGAGGAAAAGGGAGACAGGGAGAGGAUGCAGGUGAUGCGGAGGGCGGACGCAACGCAGAUAAAAAGAAAAAGCAGCAGCAGCAGAGGAAGAAAAAGGAAAAGGUGGCAGAGGAACCUGAUGAGGUGGAAGAACUGAACAAGAUGGUGGUGAGGGUUCUCCAUGUUUCGGACGCGCCCACAGCACUGACGGUUAAAGUGAUGGCGGAAGUUAAGGAUGUUCGGCCCUACUUGGUGUGCUGCGUGGUCCGAGGCAUGAACCUAAAGUCUGGGAAUUCUCUCAAACGGUUCCUCGUGGCUCAGACAAAGCUUCACGACGAUUUGUGUGGUAAACGGACCACGGCAACCAUCGCAACUCAUGAUGUGCAGCUUCUCAAAGGUCCACUGACAUAUGACGUCAAACCCCCCACCCAGCUAAAGAUUGUAUCACUGGGCCGGAAGGAGAUGACGGCGGUCGAGCUGAUGAGACACCUUCACCUCGAAGCAGAGGAACUGAGGAAGCAGAAGAAACGACAGAAUGUAACUGGCCUCCACAAAUACCUGCAGCUUUUGCAAGGAAAACCAUUCUAUCCCUGCCUAGUUGACGCAGAGGGACACGUCAUCUCAUUCCCACCUAUUACCAACAGUGAGAACACCAAGAUCAAGAAGACUACCAAAGAGUUGUUUUUGGAAGUGACAAGUUCAACCAGCCUUCAGACCUGUAAAGACAUUAUGGAUGCUCUGAUCGUAAAAAUGGCAGAGUUAAACAAGUUCACAGCAGAUCAUCGGGAGGAGGCGGGGUCAGACGUGGAAGGGGAAGGCCCCACCGAGCCGGCGGAGGCCAGCGACAAGGCCUCCAGCGAACUGAUCGUCCAGCAGGUCCGAACCGUCGACCAAGACGGGAACCUGAAGGUCGUCUACCCAUCGAAGACUGACCUCUCCUUCAACGACAUCAGCAAUUUGACCGUCGUGUGGUAGUCGUGCUGUUGAUAACCUGCGAUGUCUGUAUUUAAAAUGUGUGUGAGUGUAAUCGUUUGAAAAUGUGUAAAGAAAAUAUAUUCAAAUAAGUAUUCAGAUUUGCAAGUGUAUUAAUAUCUGUAAAAAUAUAGAGAGAUUAAUGGCUUAGUAUUUUGCCUCAAGAGCUGAAAAUACUGACAAGUCAUCAGUUUCUGCUCAAUAUGUUUUUUUACACGCGAAAUUUGCUACACAUCUGCUGUGGCAGAGCCGCAAAUGCGCAGCAAUCCGCAAAAAAUAUGUGUCGACAUUUGUCUUUUCAGCAGCUAAAGCCUUAAUACCACUAAGCUGCGGUAGCCAUUAAUCUCCGUGUAUGUUUUCACAGAUCAGAUUUACAGAUAUAAAUACACUUGCAAAUCUGGAUACAUAUUUCAGGAUAUUUUCUUUACACAUUUUCCAAUCUGAUUAAACACAUGGAUCCUGAAUUCGUAUUUGCAUAUAUUUAUUUGUGUACAAAUCCAAUAGCGCACACCCACGGUUUUUGUACAUAUUUCCAAAUUCGAUUAUACACACACAGAUUUUAAAAACAGAUUUGAAGUUUUUUUUUUUACUACACAUUUGGAAAUCUGUUUACACACAUUCAAAGUACAAAUGUGUAGAUCCAUGUACACAUGUAAGAGAUUCUUUUUCACAUUCACAAAUCUGAUUACACACAGAGGCACAUUUACAACAUGAAAAAAUGUAGGGUGAAUUUGUUUUUUGUUUUUUGACAACUUUGAUUGCAAUUGUUUUCUAACCACACCAGAAGAAAGAAUGGUGAUAUCAUACUCAAAGGAGACGUAACACAGCUAUUGGUGCUAUUAGUGUUAGCUGCCUGAAUUUGAUGAUCUUGGAAAAUGACAUUUUAAAAAGCAUUAUGAAAUAGCUGAACAUAUGUCUUCCUAGAAAUAUCAUUAAUUUAUAUUAAAAUAUAAGAGUCAAUUUUCCCAAGCCUAAAUAAAUAAACUUUACAAUAAUUAAAAACAUUCUGUUAAAGCUGUAUCACAUUUUUUAUCAAAUCAAUUGAAAUUCAUUCUACAGCAAGAAAAAAAAAAAUUAUUCAUUCAGUAAUUUGCUGAUUGGGGCUUAUAAUUGACAUUUAACCCUCCCCUUUCUGUAACACCACCCCCAUGAAGUCAUGUUAUUUCCAUGCUAACUUUUAGUAAAAGUAAUAAUAAUCAGAUUGAAGUUAAGAUGUCCCACACUACCCAAUAUCCCAGAUUACCUGAAUUCACCCUACAUGCUUUAACUUCAGGGAGCUCAGGAAAUCCUGGAAGCAUCACCUCUUGAAUUUAAACAUGUAUGAUUAAUGUACAGCUUUUUGAACCACAUGCAUUAUAAUCACAGACAAAGUCCUUUUGCCUCUAACAUAAAGCUUGAUUAGUUCAGACAUUGUCUAAAUACUCUUAUUUUUGUAUUAUUGACAAACUGACAACAACUUACUGUAUACCGAGCAUUGAUAUUCACAUUACUAAAGGAUUUGUAAAGCUGUUUAUCAACACCUGGUAUUUUCCCUCUAAGCAGCAGCAGUUCAUGUCUGUAUGAGGCUUAAUAAACUCUACUUCUGUUUUCACUCAUUA